GAUGAACGCUGGCGGCGUGCCUAAUACAUGCAAGUCGAGCGAACAGACGAGGAGCUUGCUCCUCUGACGUUAGCGGCGGACGGGUGAGUAACACGUGGAUAACCUACCUAUAAGACUGGGAUAACUUCGGGAAACCGGAGCUAAUACCGGAUAACAUGUUGAACCGCAUGGUUCAACAGUGAAAGACGGUCUUGCUGUCACUUAUAGAUGGAUCCGCGCCGCAUUAGCUAGUUGGUAAGGUAACGGCUUACCAAGGCAACGAUGCGUAGCCGGCCUGAGAGGGUGAUCGGCCACACUGGAACUGAGACACGGUCCAGACUCCUACGGGAGGCAGCAGUAGGGAAUCUUCCGCAAUGGGCGAAAUCCUGACGGAGCAACGCCGCGUGAGUGAAGAAGGUCUUCGGAUCGUAAAACUCUGUUAUUAGGGAAGAACAAAUGUGUAAGUAACUAUGCACGUCUUGACGGUACCUAAUCAGAAAGCCACGGCUAACUACGUG
rnacentral:rRNA from 1 species